rnacentral:lncRNA from 1 species
UGAAAUUAUUUUAGAUUAUACCAGUUUCAGAUCCUAUAGGAAGGAUAUCUAUUAGUGCCAAUUUUAAUUCCUAUAGAUAUGAUAUGUGGUUGAACGUGAAAUGAAGCAGAUGAGAUUUUACUUGAGAUUCCUAUAGGCAUGAUUUCUAUGAAAAGGUAUUGAUUCUUAACCUUAUGGAUAUGAUGUCUGAUUUUAGCCAUUUAGAUCCUAAGAACAUGGUGUCUAAGUGUGGUAAUAACAUGCAUAAUUUAAAACAAGUCCUAUAGGCAUGUUAUAUAAAUGCAGAGUUUAAAACAGGCCCUAUAGACAGGUUCUCUAGGUGCAGAGUUAAACAUGUAGAUUUAAAAGGAUCCUAUAGACAUAUUAUCUAAAUAGUGAAUUAAUCAUGCAGAAAACAAGCCCUAUAGGAAUGUUAUAUACCUUAAGCAUGCAUAAUUACCCAGCCCUUUUCACUAACCAGUCCCAAUAUUUAUUACAAUUUAUUACAUGCCAAAUAAUGAAUUACAUCAGAAAAGUGUAAAGUAGAAGUUACAACCAAAGAAAGCCUGAUUUUAGCACGGUCACUCAACUAUUAUUAUUGGCUUACUGUUAACCCGGGAGAAGAUGUUAGGUAUUCCGGGUUCCGUAAUUCUAGCACGGUCACUCAACUAUUAUUAUUGGCCUAAUUAUCUGAUUUUAAAAUAUGUUUAAACCUAUGUGCUUUUUUACUUUUAAACCGCUUUUAUUCAUUUUUAGGAAGGUUUCAAUGUUAUACAAAACACAUAUUUGGAUCACGCCACAUAUAAAUGCACCCACGAUCCGUGACAUAUUUUGUUUAACGUUGUUAGGAUUUGGAUUUGGGUCACAUGAAAUGCACACCCAAGUUUAAGGAACUUAAUUAUUAAAAUAACGUGCCUAGAGCAACUACGCGUUUGCAACUUUUCGAGGGCCAUGAAAAUUCGUUUAGUGGCACACUUCGAUUUAUAAGGAUAAACA